CAUAUGUACAUCCCACUAAAGCUUUAGCGCUUCGGGAUGAGUCUGCGUCCUAUCAGCUUGUUGGUAGAGUAAAGGUCUACCAAGGCUAAGACGGGUAACUGGUCUGAGAGGAUGGUCAGUCACAGUGGCACUGAAACACGGGCCACACUCCUACGGGAGGCAGCAAUUAGGAAUCUUGCACAAUGGAGGAAACUCUGAUGCAGCGACACCGCGUGAAGGAUGAAGACCCUCGGGUUGUAAACUUCUUUUAUAAUCUAACAAGUUCUGAGUGGAGUAUGAAUAAGCACCUGCUAACUGCGUGCCAGAAGCAUCGGUGAAGCGUGGGGUGCGAGCGUUAUCCGGAUUUAUUGGGCGUAAAGAGAUGCGUAGGCGUUUUGGUAAGUCUUCUGUCAAAGCCUUCGGCCUAACCGAAGAAAGGCAGAGGAUACUAUCAGAAUUGAGACAGAGAGGGGGAAGUGGAAUUCCCGGUGGAGCGGUGAAAUGCGUUGAUAUCGGGAGGAACACCAGUGGCGAAGGCAACUUCCUGGCUCUGAUCUGACGCUGAGGCUCGAAAGCGUGGAGAGCAAAGCGGAUUAGAUACCCGUGUAGUCCAUGCUGUAAACGUUGGAUACUGACGUUUGG
rnacentral:rRNA from 1 species